rnacentral:rRNA from 1 species
AUUGAACGUUGGCGGCAUGCCUUACACAUGCAAGUCGAACGGCAGCAUGGAAGAGCUUGCUCUUCUGAUGGCGAGUGGCGAACGAGUGAGUAAAGCAUCGGAACGUACCGUGUAGUGGGGGAUAACGUAGCGAAAGUUACGCUAAUACCGCAUACGCACUGAGGUGGAAAGCAGGGGAUCGCAAGACCUUGCGCUAUACGAGCGGCCGAUGGCAGAUUAGCUAGUUGGUAGGGUAAAGGCCUACCAAGGCGACGAUAUGUAGCGGGUCUGAGAGGAUGAUCCGCCACACUGGGACUGAGACACGGCCCAGACUCCUACGGGAGGCAGCAGUGGGGAAUUUUGGACAAUGGGGGAAACCCUGAUCCAGCCAUGCCGCGUGAGUGAAGAAGGCCUUCGGGUUGUAAAGCUCUUUCGGCUGGGAAGAAAUCGCACAGGCUAAUACUCUGUGUGGAUGACGGUACCAGCAUAAGAAGCACCGGCUAACUACGUGCCAGCCGCCGCCGUAA